UACGGAGGGUGCAAGCGUUAAUCGGAAUUACUGGGCGUAAAGCGCACGCAGGCGGUCUGUCAAGUCGGAUGUGAAAUCCCCGGGCUCAACCUGGGAACUGCAUUCGAAACUGGCAGGCUAGAGUCUUGUAGAGGGGGGUAGAAUUCCAGGUGUAGCGGUGAAAUGCGUAGAGAUCUGGAGGAAUACCGGUGGCGGAGGCGGCCCCCUGGACAAAGACUGACGCUCAGGUGCGAAAGCGUGGGGAGCAAACAGG
rnacentral:rRNA from 1 species